UCGAGAAUAUUCGUCAAUGCGCGAAAGCGUGAACGAGCGACGCCGCGUGCGGGAUGAAGGCCUUCGGGUUGUAAACCGCUUUUGUAAGGGAAGAAUUUCGAUGACGGUACCUUACGAAUAAGAGGUUACUAACUCUGUGCCAGCAGUAGCGGUAAUACAGAGACCUCAAGCGUUAUCCGGAUUUAUUGGGCGUAAAGAGCUGGUAGGUGGUCAUGUUAGUCAGAUGUCAAAUCUUGGGGCUCAACCCCGAAACUGCAUUUGAAACGGCAUGACUAGAGGGUGUGAGAGAUCUAUGGAACUCAUGGUGUAGCAGUGAAGUGCGUUGAUAUCAUGAGGAACACCAAAGGCGAAGGCAUUAGAUUGGCACACUCCUGACACUGAGCAGCGAAAGCGUGGGUAGCGAAUGGG
rnacentral:rRNA from 1 species